GACGAACGCGGCGGCGUGCUUAACACAUGCAAGUCGAACGGGCCUGCCUGGCUUUGGUUGGGUGGGUGAGUGGCGAACGGGUGAGUAACACGUGAGUAACCUGCCCUCUUCUCUUGGAUAACUGCUUGAAAGGGCGGCUAAUACGGGAUGCUCUGGCUGCCUCGCAUGGGGUGGUUUGGAAAGAUUCGGCCUGGUUUUGGUUGUUUUGGUGGGGGAUGGGCUCGCGGCUUAUCAGCUUGUUGGUGGGGUGAUGGCCUACCAAGGCGGUGACGGGUAGCCGGCCUGAGAGGGUGGACGGUCACACUGGGACUGAGACACGGCCCAGACUCCUGCGGGAGGCAGCAGUGGGGGAUUUUGCACAAUGGGCGCAAGCCUGAUGCAGCGACGCCGCGUGAGGGAUGGAGGCCUUCGGGUUGUGAACCUCUGUCGCCGGUGAUGUAGGCUCUGCUUUGUGGGUGGGGUGACGGAGCCGGGGAUAAGGCCG
rnacentral:rRNA from 1 species